rnacentral:rRNA from 1 species
GACGAGGGGUCCAAGCGUUGUUCGGAAUCAUUGGGCGUAAAGCGGGUGUAGGCGGCUCUAUAAGUCAGGAGUGAAAGCCCCGAGCUUAACUCGGGAAGUGCUUUUGAUACUGCAGAGCUUGAAUGUGGGGAGAGGGUAGUGGAAUUCCAGGUGUAGUGGUGAAAUACGUAGAUAUCUGGAGGAACACCGGUGGCGAAGGCGGGUCUCUGGGCCGAUACUGGACGCUGAGGAGCGAAAGCGUGGGGAGCGAACA